GCUGCAACUCGCCUGCACGAAGUUGGAAUUGCUAGUAAUCGUGGAUCAGCAUGCCACGGUGAAUACGUUCCCGGGUCUUGUACACACCGCCCGUCACACCAUGGGAGCCGGUAAUACCCGAAGUCAGUAGUCUAACCGCAAGGAGGACGCUGCCGAAGGUAGGAUUGGCGACUGGGGUGAAGUCGUAACAAGGUAUC
rnacentral:rRNA from 1 species